rnacentral:sRNA from 1 species
UAAAACAAGAGUCAAAAGGUAAUGCACUUCAUGCCAGCAUGAAAAAGCAUGAGUUUAGGACUCGCAAAAACAUUAAAAAUAAACCCAAUCGGGUGAUUUUGAAUGUUUUUAGGAUUUCGUGAGCACAAAGUGCAUAGAAAUCCAUAGUAUUA